rnacentral:rRNA from 1 species
CCAAUAGCGUAUAUUAAAGUUGCUGCAGUUAAAAAGCUCGUAGUUGAAUUUCGGGACCAAUAUGUCGGUCGUGCUUUUGUACGUACUGAUAUAAUUGGUUUCUCCCUUCUGAAGAACCUUGAUGUCAUUAAUUUGGUGUCUUGGGAAAUCAGGACUGUUACUUUGAAAAAAUUAGAGUGUUUAAAGCAGGCUCGCGCUUGAAUACAUUAGCAUGGAAUAA